GGCAAUGGCGGCAGGCCUUACACAUGCAAGUCGAGCGGUAGCACAGGGGAGCUUGCUCCCUGGGUGACGAGCGGCGGACGGGUGAGUAAUGUCUGGGAAACUGCCUGAUGGAGGGGGAUAACUACUGGAAACGGUAGCUAAUACCGCAUAACGUCGCAAGACCAAAGAGGGGGACCUUCGGGCCUCUUGCCAUCAGAUGUGCCCAGAUGGGAUUAGCUAGUAGGUGGGGUAAUGGCUCACCUAGGCGACGAUCCCUAGCUGGUCUGAGAGGAUGACCAGCCACACUGGAACUGAGACACGGUCCAGACUCCUACGGGAGGCAGCAGUGGGGAAUAUUGCACAAUGGGCGCAAGCCUGAUGCAGCCAUGCCGCGUGUGUGAAGAAGGCCUUCGGGUUGUAAAGCACUUUCAGCGAGGAGGAAGGUGGUGAGCUUAAUACGCUCAUCAAUUGACGUUACUCGCAGAAGAAGCACCGGCUAACUCCGUGCCAGCAGCCGCGGUAAUACGGAGGGUGCAAGCGUUAAUCGGAAUUACUGGGCGUAAAGCGCACGCAGGCGGUUUGUUAAGUCAGAUGUGAAAUCCCCGGGCUCAACCUGGGAACUGCAUUUGAAACUGGCAAGCUAGAGUCUCGUAGAGGGGGGUAGAAUUCCAGGUGUAGCGGUGAAAUGCGUAGAGAUCUGGAGGAAUACCGGUGGCGAAGGCGGCCCCCUGGACGAAGACUGACGCUCAGGUGCGAAAGCGUGGGGAGCAAACAGGAUUAGAUACCCUGGUAGUCCACGCUGUAAACGAUGUCGAUUUGGAGGUUGUGCCCUUGAGGCGUGGCUUCCGGAGCUAACGCGUUAAAUCGACCGCCCUGGGGAGUACGGCCGCAAGGUUAAAACUCAAAUGAAUUGACGGGGGCCCGCACAAGCGGUGGAGCAUGUGGGUUUAAUUCGAUGCAACGCCGAAGAACCCUUACCUACUCUUGACAUCCAGAGAACUUAGCCAGAGAUGCUUUGGUGCCUUUCGGGAACUCUGAAGACAGGUGCUUGCAUGGCUGUCGUCAGCUCGUGUUGUGAAAAUGUUGGUUUACGUUCCCGGCAACGAGCCGUCAACCUUUAUCCUUUGUUGCCAGCGGUCGUCUGGGAACUCGAAGGAAACUGCAGUUGAUAACUGAAGAAGGUGGCAUGACGUCCAAGUUCAUCCAUGGGCUUUACGACUAGCUACACACGUGCUUACAAUGUGCGGGUAUACCAUAGAGAUAAGGUCGUGAACUGCUC
rnacentral:rRNA from 1 species